UUGAUUUAUUUAUGUUUUUUACUCAGAUGAUAUUACAAAAACAAGAGUUUAUAGGGCCACCGGCCGGUCUGCUCCUUCCCCGAGGGAAAGGGACCUCAAAGAGGCCAACCAAUGCCGAGGCAACAUUUUAGGUAGUAUUCACAAAGGGUUUCUGGGUAGCACCCGUGAGGGCGUUUAUUCCAGCAAUGAUCCCUCCGCUGGUUCACCAACGGAGA
rnacentral:misc_RNA from 1 species